AUCUAACAAUCGCCUCAGCUCCACAGCAGACCACCAUCAGCUGGCACCUUUGAUCCAAUGCCUGCUCCAUGAUUCCCUGCAUAUUAGGUGUUUUAUUAGAGACAAGAGGCAACACAUAUCUUAUGAAGGCAUGGGACGAGCUGCAUUGCAGCAUCGUAUGAUCGACAAAUGAUGCAGUAAUCACUCUUGGGAUAUGGAGCCUAGGGUGGAAAGAACCAUGUCAAGAACAAUUCUCAUCCUAAGGGAAACAACAAAAACCUCACAAGAUAACACUUACCAGGAACCUAUCCCAUUGUGAUUGGAAGAAAGAGAAUCUCAUAUCAGUCUCACAGUUGCUCGGAGUUACCUCUGGCCUUUCAACUGGACAGUCAACAAAGCAUGAUGUUGGUCUGGAACCAAUCAAUCCAAUCCUCCUUGCAAGUCCAGACUCAAAUAAAUCAGUCUUCCUCAUAGGCUCAGAAACAAUUUUCUGAGUGAGAGAUGCAGGCUCAAUCAGAAUUGGUUUUCUGGUAGGCACAGGCUGAAGUAAAUCAAGUUUUGCUGUAGGUUCAGGCACAAUCAAAUCAGAUUUUUUUGCAGUUGCAGGCUCAAUCAGAUCAGGUUUUCUUGUAGGUACAGGUUCAAUCAAAUCAGACUUUCCUGUAGGUAUGGACUCAAUGGAAUCAGGUUUUGUGGUGCUGAUGACCGUAACUUCACUCAGCAAGCUACCGUUGUCAGUGGAAGCACUAUCUUGCUGGCUUUCAGCAUUACUCCUGCUGCACUCAUCGCCCUGCUGGCUCUGCAGAUUGUUCUCACUGCAAGUAUCACCCUGCUGACUGUCUGUGUUACGAGGAGAGUCCUCGGUGAUAUUAGUGGUAAGUGGAGACCUUGGGGACUGAUGAUCUGACACUGAUUCUGGGAGCUCAUCAUGAUCAAGGGAGAAUGGCUCUAGCAAGGGUACAUACUUUGGUCGCGUGACCGGUGGAAGGAGGACCAUGUGUGUUGCAGGACCACUUCCUACAGGGACUACACACAUUCUGCAGAUACCAGGGAGGGAGCGCAUGAAGUCACUUAGCUUAGGAUAACCAAGCGUGCCAUGAUCAAGCUCCAUUCUGCAAAUCGCUCUGAAAUCACCCUUCAGAGAGCUCAAUGGGUACCUAUCUCCAAGCCGUUCGGUAGCAUCGAGAAGAAAUCCUGGCAACCACUUCCUGAAUAUAAAGAACCAAGAUGGAAGACACUUCUCUGGCAAUGGCCGCCGGUUCCUAGUGUUAUGUUCCUCAUUUAACUCACCAUCCAACAGACUGUGAGUUACCUUGGGAACCUCCUGGUUGUGGUGCCUGAAUGAAGUUUUCUGGAGUUCUGCAGGCAAGGAUCCUCUAGCAACAGCAUCCUUCACCUCCACUCUCUUCCCAAGCAUGUACACAUGAUGAGUUUCCUUUGCACUUAUCACAUCCUCUUCUCUUUUGAACUUUACAAAACCAAAGCCUCGGGAUUGCACCCGAUCGCCCAUCCUUAUCCCAAUGACUACUGCUUCCUCCACAGGUCCAAAUUCAGCAGUGAAGAACUCAGUAAGGUACUCUGCCAGGAAGAAGAAAAAAGAGGUAAGAAUGAAACGCAUAUCUUGGGAUGUUGCCACAUCUAUUGGUCUUUGCUUUCUGUUCGAUGUCAAAUAAUCACAGGAUGCCCCAGAACGCAGGAGGAGUUUUACACAAUCCACAGAACCAUUCUUUACUGCCAAGAACAAUGGAGUCUCUUUGGUCUUGGAAGGUAUAUCAACACAAUCUUGUGCAUGAAGCAGAAGGGACUUGCAGAGCAAAUAAUACACUAACAAUUAGUCAUAAGUGACAAGAAUGUCAUUAUGUGAGUUGAUGAAAGUGACAAAAGGCUACCUGAAGGGCCUUAUAAUUUCCCUUAGCCGCAGCACUGUGUACUGGUGUAAGACCUAGUUUGUUUCCCUGGAAAACUCUGGCACCAUUCUUCAGCAGGAGCCACACAAUCCUGCACAAAUACAAAAUAUAACAAAGUGAAGACAAUGCAAAGAGCAAUAAGAACAGUUGAUCGAACAGAAUUCUGAGAGUAUACCUUGGCUCCUGUGUGCUUGAGCUACCACUAAGGCACCAGUGAAGGGCCGUGUUUCCUUCAGGAUCGGCUUCAUUGACAUCAACAUCCCCCAUCAGAAGCAUCUUUGUGACAUUCACAUCUCCAACCUACAGGAGGAAAGUCAAUCAGAAUUCAGAAGAAGUCUUCCUAUGAAUACAGUUUUACACUAUAAACCUUACCUUGUUAUACAUAGCGCAUUUUAAGCAUUCUUGCAUGAACCAUAAUUGGAUAAAAGGUUUUUAAAUAGGGUAGAACAUGAAGCACAGUCAAAUAUUCAUCUUAUAUGUAACCGUAGCU